AGUCGAGCGGCAGCAGGUCCUUCGGGAUGCUGGCGAGCGGCGGACGGGUGAGUAACGCGUGGGAAUCUGCCCAUCGGUGGGGGAUAGCCCGAGGAAACUCGGAUUAAUACCGCAUACGCCCUUAGGGGCAAAGUGGACCUCUGAUACAAGUUCACGCCGAUGGAUGAGCCCGCGGCCGAUUAGCUAGUUGGUGGGGUAAAGGCCUACCAAGGCGACGAUCGGUAGCUGGUCUGAGAGGACGAUCAGCCACACCGGAACUGAGACACGGUCCGGACUCCUACGGGAGGCAGCAGUGGGGAAUAUUGGACAAUGGGCGAAAGCCUGAUCCAGCAAUGCCGCGUGGGUGAAGAAGGCUUGCGGGUUGUAAAGCCCUUUCAGCAGGGAGGAAAAGCAUUCGGUUAAUACCCGGAUGUCUUGACGUUACCUGCAGAAGAAGCACCGGCUAACUCCGUGCCAGCAGCCGCGGUAAUACGGAGGGUGCAAGCGUUAAUCGGAAUUACUGGGCGUAAAGCGCGCGUAGGCGGUCGGAUAAGUUGGAUGUGAAAGCCCUGGGCUCAACCUGGGAAUUGCAUUCGAUACUGUCUGGCUAGAGUCUGGUAGAGGGUGGUGGAAUUCCUGGUGUAGCGGUGAAAUGCGUAGAUAUCAGGAGGAACAUCAGUGGCGAAGGCGACCACCUGGACCAAGACUGACGCUGAGGUGCGAAAGCGUGGGGAGCAAA
rnacentral:rRNA from 1 species